rnacentral:rRNA from 1 species
CCUACGGGUUGCAGCAGUGGGGAAUAUUGCACAAUGGGCGCAAGCCCGAUGCAGCCAUGCCGCGUGUAUGAAGAAGGCCUCAGGGUUGUAAAGUACUUUCAGUUGGGAGGAAGGCGUUGAUGCUAAUAUCAUCAACGAUUGACGUUACCAACAGAAGAAGCACCGGCUAACUCCGUGCCAGCAGCCGCGGUAAUACGGAGGGUGCAAGCGUUAAUCGGAAUUACUGGGCGUAAAGCGCACGCAGGCGGUUGAUUAAGUUAGAUGUGAAAUCCCCGGGCUUAACCUGGGAAUGGCAUCUAAGACUGGUCAGCUAGAGUUUUGUAGAGGGGGGUAGAAUUCCAUGUGUAGCGGUGAAAUGCGUAGAGAUGUGGAGGGAUACCGGUGGUGAAGGCGGCCCCCUGGACAAAGACUGCCGCUCAGGUGCGAAAGCGUGGGGAGCAGACAGGAUUAGAUACCCUGGUAGUC